CAUCAUGGUGCUGAGAGGCUGAUGCACCCGGAGCGGACAUGGAAGCCCGCCAGGUUCCUCUGUCCAUGGCGUUCUCCAGGCAAGAAUACUGUAGUGGGUAGCCAUUUCCUUCUCCAGGGAAUAAUAAACCAGUAACAAUGUGAGAACUGGACCAUAAUGAAGGCUGAACAUCAAAGAACUGAUGUUUUUGAAUUGUGGCGCUGGAGAAGACUCUUGAGAGUCCCGUGAACUGCAAGGAGAUCAAACCAGUCAAUCCUGAAGGAAAUCAACCCUGAAUAUUCAUUGGAAGGACUGAUGCUGAAGCUGAAGCUCCACCUGAUGGGAGGAGUCGACUCAUUGGUAAAGACCCUGAUGCUGGGAAAGAUCGAAGGCAAAAGGAGAAGGAGGCUGCAGAGGAUGAGAUGGUAGGAGCUGGCCAAAAGAGGAAAUUGCAGGAGAUUUGGAAGAUGGAGGAGAAGCAGCAGCCAUCCCCCUCCUUCAUUUAUCUCUACUGUACCCCAUCUGCUGCUGCUGCUGCUGCUGCUGCUAAGUCACUUCAGUCGUGUCCCACUCUGUGCGACCCCAUACCCCAUCUAGAAUCCUUUUAGGUCUUUGCUGCUCUGCUAAGUCACUUCAGUCAUGUCCGACUCUGUGCGACCCCAUAGACGGCAGCCCACCAGGCUCCCCCGUCCCUGGGAUUCUCCAGGCAAGAACAGUGGAGUGGGUUGCCAUUUCCUUCUCCAAUGCAUGAAAGUGAAAAGUGAAAGUGAAGUCGCUCAGUCGUGUCCGACCCUCAGCGACCCCAUGGACUGCAGCCUUCCAGGCUCCUUCGUCCACGGGAUUUUCCAGAACCACAUAUGUUUACUGAAAGCAGUCCUUUCUGUGUUCUGGAUUAUGUACAAAGGCUACAGUUUACCGGAGUAUAACUAACUGGAAAUGGAAAAGGCCCACAGGUAGGAACAACUUUUAUCAGGGAAAAAGGGUUCUAGUUAUUAAUAUAUAAGUUUUCCUUGUAUUGCUAUUUCUUAUCAGUGUUUAUUAGAGCAUUUGAAAGGAUAAUGAUGAAGUUCAUCCUCGUGUACAUCAAAAUCAUUUGUGAGCUCUGAAAAAAUAUGUAUGUAAAAAACUGGUCCCUAUCUGGGACUUUCUGAAUUGGAAUCUCCAGGGAGCAGCUUAAGCAUUUGCUUUUUUAAAAGCUGUGCAAUUUACACCCUGGCUUUUAUGAUGUGGACUUUCUUUGUUCAUAAACCACUUUCCCAUACGGCUCUGCCUAUGUUCUUCUUCUGAUUUUGAUGUAAAACAAUAAAG
ensembl:lncRNA